AUGGGAUCCGCCGUCUCUUCCGCCAUAGCCGACGCAGCAGUGGAGUUUUUACACCUUGACGGGCAGAUCGUGGACGAGGACGAUCCCCACGGGCUGCCCCUCGACCAGCAACAACGCCAUGUCCAACGCUUCAUGGACAGGUUGGAGCGCAAGCGUCGCCGCAACCUUGUCUUGUACGGCCCCCGCUCAGAAGGAGCGCAACAAAGCCAUCGUUCUCCCACAUGUCCAGAUCGCCCUUCGCCACUACAAUUCGAACAACCCGGGUGCAGAGUUCAGGGUGCAGAGCUUGUCAGUCCUAUGUCGUGCAACCGUGUCGGAUUCAGGGACGAGAUUUGGUUUCACUUCAACUUUUUAGCUCGCCGGUGCCUCAAAAAGCACAACUUCUGCGCUCGCGGUAGGGUUGCUCCAGAACCAGAUACCUCUGACCAGUAUUUCUUCGCUGAGCUACACUAUGACCGCUUCGGCAAACCAGUUGUCGAAACGUGCACUAUAUUGGAAAAACCGAUUUGCCAAUUUAAAGGAAAGUGUGCCUUUUGCAAGGGCUCAGUUGGGAUUUGGCACCCUAGGAACGGAGGAUUUUUGUGUGGAAGGGAGGGACAGAAAAAGGAGUAUUGUCAGAUGUUUAUGUUGAGUGAAAGGCCCAAGAAAGGACCAGAGGAGGAACCUUCUUCAGUUCCAAGGCUAUUUGAUGAGUUGCCACUAGCUGCCUAG
rnacentral:rRNA from 1 species